UACGGUGGGGGCAAGCGUUGUUCGGAAUUACUGGGCGUAAAGGGCUCGUAGGCGGCCAACUAAGUCAGACGUGAAAUCCCUCGGCUUAACCGGGGAACUGCGUCCGAUACUGGAUGACUUGAGUUCGGGAGAGGGAUGCGGAAUUCCAGGUGUAGCGGUGAAAUGCGUAGAUAUCUGGAGGAACACCGGUGGCGAAGGCGGCAUCCUGGACCGACACUGACGCUGAGGAGCGAAAGCCAGGGGAGCAAACGGG
rnacentral:rRNA from 1 species